UACGUAGGGUGCAAGCGUUGUCCGGAAUCAUUGGGCGUAAAGAGCGCGUAGGUGGCCACAUAAGUCCGUUGUGAAAGUCAAAGGCUCAACCUUUGAAAGCCGAUGGAUACUGUGUGGCUAGAGUACGGAAGAGGCGAGUGGAAUUCCUGGUGUAGCGGUGGAAUGCGCAGAUAUCAGGAGGAACACCAAUAGCGAAGGCAGCUCGCUGGGACGUUACUGACACUGAGGCGCGAAAGCGUGGGGAGCGAACAGG
rnacentral:rRNA from 1 species